rnacentral:misc_RNA from 1 species
GCCGGUCCUGUCAUAUGUAGAAGAUUCAAAACAAUGUCGAUAUCGAGUCGGUUUGCCACAACACACAGCCGACUAGAUCACAUCAACGCUGCCAGCAAGGCUUACAGAAACAAACAAUGAGUGGUGUGAAAUGGCUGUGCUGCUGUAGACAAAUAACCUUAUCUCAAUUCACUUUAUGACAUCUAUACAACAUCCGUUUUGAUCCACAGAUACAUUAUACCCCCUGAUACAUAUUCUACACAUAUUUUCCCUCUUUUGUUAUAUACAAUCCCGUGGCAUCUCUCUUACCUAUCUAUCGAAGGGAUACUCCAAAUUGUUUUCGGUCACCUUAAAAUGUUGUGGACGCUGCCCCGAACAAUGCAGGUUCCACAUUUUGAAGUAUGACCUCUCCAAGUUCCUCACCCAUCGAGCCGUGUCGAAUAGAGGGCAAGUCAUCCUCACAGACUUCAAUUUGUUGGUAAGUGCUUGCAGCUUCGGCCGAUUCAAUGCCAAUGAUACAGCCUUCUCCUCGUAUUCUUUCAUGCUGUUAACAAUCAUCUCGUCUCCCAGUCCAGUUGCAAGACAGAGAGACCCAGCAACCCUUGUAGCCAUUUUCUCGAGGGGCAGGGUAAUCAUUGGUAAACCCGCCCAUAAGAUGUCGGUUCCUGUUGUAUGUGCAUUGCACAAAG